rnacentral:rRNA from 1 species
UACGGGGGGGGCAAGCGUUGUUCGGAAUUACUGGGCGUAAAGGGCUCGUAGGCGGCCAACUAAGUCGGAUGUGAAAUCCCCAAGCUUAACUUGGGAACUGCAUCCGAUACUGGAUGGCUUGAAUCCGGGAGAGGGAUGCAGAAUUCCAGGUGUAGCGGUGAAAUGCGUAGAUAUCUGGAGGAACACCGGUGGCGAAGGCGGCAUCCUGGACCGACACUGACACUGAGGAGCGAAAGCCAGGGGAGCAAACGGG